UACGAAGAGGGCUAGCGUUGCUCGGAAUCACUGGGCGUAAAGGGUGCGUAGGCGGGUUUUUAAGUCAGGGGUGAAAUCCUGGAGCUCAACUCCAGAACUGCCUUUGAUACUGAAGAUCUUGAGUCCGGGAGAGGUGAGUGGAACUGCGAGUGUAGAGGUGAAAUUUGUAGAUAUUCGCAAGAACACCAGUGGCGAAGGCGGCUCACUGGCCCGGUACUGACGCUGAGGCACGAAAGCGUGGGGAGCAAACAGG
rnacentral:rRNA from 1 species